AUUGAACGCUGGCGGCAUGCCUAACACAUGCAAGUCGAACGGUAACGCGGGGGCAACCCUGGCGACGAGUGGCGACGGGUGAGUAAUACGUAGGAAUCUGCCCAUUUGUGGGGGAUAACCCGGCGAAAGCCGGGCUAAUACCGCAUACGCUCUACGGAGGAAAGCAGGGGAUCGUAAGACCUUGCGCUAAUGGAUGAGCCUACGUCGGAUUAGCUAGUUGGUAGGGUAACGGCCUACCAAGGCGACGAUCCGUAGCUGGUCUGAGAGGACGAUCAGCCACACUGGGACUGAGGCACGGCCCAGACUCCUACGGGAGGCAGCAGUGGGGAAUAUUGGACAAUGGGGGCAACCCUGAUCCAGCAAUGCCGCGUGUGUGAAGAAGGCCUGCGGGUUGUAAAGCACUUUCAGAGGGGAAGGAAAACCUCGAAGCUAAUACCUUCGAGUUUGACAUUACCUUUAGAAGAAGCACCGGCUAACUCCGUGCCAGCCGCCGCAGUAAUAC
rnacentral:rRNA from 1 species